rnacentral:rRNA from 1 species
CGAAGGGUGCAAGCGUUACUCGGAAUUACUGGGCGUAAAGCGUGCGUAGGUGGUUCGUUAAGUCUGUCGUGAAAGCCCCGGGCUCAACCUGGGAAUGGCGAUGGAUACUGGCGGGCUAGAGUGCGGUAGAGGGUGGUGGAAUUCCCGGUGUAGCAGUGAAAUGCGUAGAGAUCGGGAGGAACAUCAGUUGCGAAGGCGGCCACCUGGACCAGCACUGACACUGAGGCACGAAAGCGUGGGGAGCAAACAGGAUUAGAUACCCUGGUAGUCCACGCCCUAAACGAUGCGAACUGGACGUUGGGAGCAACUAGGCUCUCAGUGUCGAAGCUAACGCGUUAAGUUCGCCGCCUGGGGAGUACGGUCGCAAGACUG